rnacentral:rRNA from 1 species
GAGUAAUGUCUGGGAAACUGCCUGAUGGAGGGGGAUAACUACUGGAAACGGUAGCUAAUACCGCAUAACGUCGCAAGACCAAAGAGGGGGACCUUCGGGCCUCUUGCCAUCGGAUGUGCCCAGAUGGGAUUAGCUAGUAGGUGGGGUAACGGCUCACCUAGGCGACGAUCCCUAGCUGGUCUGAGAGGAUGACCAGCCACACUGGAACUGAGACACGGUCCAGACUCCUACGGGAGGCAGCAGUGGGGAAUAUUGCACAAUGGGCGCAAGCCUGAUGCAGCCAUGCCGCGUGUAUGAAGAAGGCCUUCGGGUUGUAAAGUACUUUCAGCGGGGAGGAAGGGAGUAAAGUUAAUACCUUUGCUCAUUGACGUUACCCGCAGAAGAAGCACCGGCUAACUCCGUGCCAGCAGCCGCGGUAAUACGGAGGGUGCAAGCGUUAAUCGGAAUUACUGGGCGUAAAGCGCACGCAGGCGGUUUGUUAAGUCAGAUGUGAAAUCCCCGGGCUCAACCUGGGAACUGCAUCUGAUACUGGCAAGCUUGAGUCUCGUAGAGGGGGGUAGAAUUCCAGGUGUAGCGGUGAAAUGCGUAGAGAUCUGGAGGAA